GAUGAACGCUGGCGGCGUGCCUAACACAUGCAAGUCGAACGGAGUCGUUUUGGAAAUCUCUUCGGAGAUGGAAUUCUCGACUUAGUGGCGGACGGGUGAGUAACGCGUGAGCAAUCUGCCUUUAAGAGGGGGAUAACAGUCGGAAACGGCUGCUAAUACCGCAUAAAGCAUUAAAUUCGCAUGUUUUUGAUGCCAAAGGAGCAAUCCGCUUUUAGAUGAGCUCGCGUCUGAUUAGCUAGUUGGCGGGGUAACGGCCCACCAAGGCGACGAUCAGUAGCCGGACUGAGAGGUUGAACGGCCACAUUUGGACUGAGACACGGCCCAGACUCCUACGGGAGGCAGCAGUGGGGAAUAUUGCGCAAUGGGGGAAACCCUGACGCAGCAACGCCGCGUGAUUGAAGAAGGCCUUCGGGUUGUAAAGAUCUUUAAUCAGGGACGAAACAAAUGACGGUACCUGAAGAAUAAGCUCCGGCUAACUACGUG
rnacentral:rRNA from 1 species